GGCCCCAUAGUUUAAUAGAACACUAAAUUGCAGCUUUAGACGUGUAGAAAUACUGGCGCCU
rnacentral:tRNA from 1 species